GACGAACGCUGGCGGCGUGCUUAACACAUGCAAGUCGAACGGAAAGGCCCUGCUUUUGUGGGGUGCUCGAGUGGCGAACGGGUGAGUAACACGUGAGUAACCUGCCCUUGACUUUGGGAUAACUUCAGGAAACUGGGGCUAAUACCGGAUAGGAGCUCCUGCUGCAUGGUGGGGGUUGGAAAGUUUCGGCGGUUGGGGAUGGACUCGCGGCUUAUCAGCUUGUUGGUGGGGUAGUGGCUUACCAAGGCUUUGACGGGUAGCCGGCCUGAGAGGGUGACCGGCGACAGUGGGACUGAGAUACGGCCCAGACUCCUACGGGAGGCAGCAGGGGGGAAGAUGGCAGAAUGGGCGGAAGUCUGAUGCAGCAACGCCGCGUGCGGGAUGACGGCCUUCGGGUUGGAAACCGCUUUCGCCUGUGACGAAGCGUGAGUGACGGUAAUGGGUAAAGAAGCACCGGCUAACUACGUG
rnacentral:rRNA from 1 species